UAUUUUUUUUUUUUUUUUUUGUCGUGUAAAUGAUGACUGAAAUAGAAUUUGGUGAUUAGUUUAGUGACUAGAUGCAAUUUACCCAUAAUAUGUAUAAAAACCUUGUUGUGACUCUAUAAAGGGAAAAACUCUGGUGUGAUCUUAGAUAAUAGGUAAGAACAACAAUUUUUAGAUAAGAGGGGUUCGGGCCAUAAUGAAAAGGAACUUGAAUAAAUGGAAAUAGAUCAAUAAUUGUGUGUUACAUCGUUGAAGCCAAAAAAAAAACAAUAAUGUGGGGGCUUCAUGCGGGUGAAAGAGCGUGCCGUGGAGUUGGCCAAGGCCAUGGAGGAGGAGGAUUGGGUACAAGGUGCAGUAAAUGCCUUCUAUAAACAUUUUCCUCGCUACAAGUUGGAA
rnacentral:misc_RNA from 1 species